rnacentral:rRNA from 1 species
ACGGGGCCCGCACAAGCGGUGGAGUAUGUGGUUUAAUUCGAUGCAACGCGAAGAACCUUACCUGGUCUUGACAUCCCGGAGACCCUUAGGAAACUAGGGGUGCUUCCAUCUGGAAGAAUCUGGAGACAGGUGCUGCAUGGCUGUCGUCAGCUCGUGUCGUGAGAUGUUGGGUUAAGUCCCGCAACGAGCGCAACCCUUGCCUUUAGUUGCCAGCAGUUCGGCUGGGCACCCUAAAGGGACUGCCGGUGUUAAACCGGAGGAAGGUGGGGAUGACGUCAAGUCCUCAUGGCCUUUAUGACCAGGGCUACACACGUACUACAAUGGCCGAUACAAAGGGCAGCGACACUGCGAGGUGAAGCCAAUCCCGUAAAAUCGGUCUCAGUCCGGAUUGGAGUCUGCAACUCGACUCCAUGAAGUUGGAAUCGCUAGUAAUCGUGGAUCAGCAUGCCACGGUGAAUACGUUCCCGGGCCUU